rnacentral:rRNA from 1 species
AACGAACGCUGGCGGCAUGCCUAACACAUGCAAGUCGAACGAGACCUUCGGGUCUAGUGGCGCACGGGUGCGUAACGCGUGGGAACCUGCCCUUAGGUUCGGAAUAACUCCCCGAAAGGGGUGCUAAUACCGGAUAAUGUCUUCGGACCAAAGAUUUAUCGCCUUUGGAUGGGCCCGCGUUGGAUUAGCUAGUUGGUAGGGUAAAAGCCUACCAAGGCGACGAUCCAUAGCUGGUCUGAGAGGAUGAUCAGCCACACUGGGACUGAGUCACGGCCCAGAAUCCUACGGGAGGCAGCAGUGGGGAAUAUUGGACAAUGGGCGAAAGCCUGAUCCAGCAAUGCCGCGUGAGUGAUGAAGUCCUUAGGGUUGUAAAGCUCUUUUACCCGGGAUGAUAAUGACAGUACCGGGAGAAUAAGCUCCGGCUAACUCCGUG